UGCCUCUCCCUCCCUCCACGCGCGCGCUUCGUCUUGAUCGGGGGCCACCUCGCCGCGGCGUCGGCUCAAGCAAGCGAGCAAGUACGGCGGCUAGGGUUUUGCGGCGCCCCGCCCGCGUCGCUUCGCCGAGGUGGUGACAGGCAGCCCACCGCGCGCGCGCUCGCCAGGUGUUCGACGGAAGUCGGGGCCCCGGGACCGGCCGGCCGAUGUCGAGCGGCGGGAGGCGGCUGCCGCCGUGGACGUCGCCGAGGGGCGCGGGGCCGGGGGUGCCGAGGUGGAGCCCCGCUGCUGGCACCCCCGCGGGCGCGGGCGGCCCGGGAUCGGGCUACGGGACGCCGCCCGUGAGCGCGGGGUGCUGCUUCGGCACGCGCGUCACGCCGCCGACGAGCGGCGGCGGGGGCGCGCGCGUGACGCCGCCGUCGGCCGGGGGGUGCUCGUCGCGGCCGCCGAGGCCGCCGCCUUCCCUGGACUCGCCCUACGUGCGGGCCAAGCAGGCGCAGGUAAUUGAAAAGGACCCAAACAAGGCAGUUCCAUUGUUCUGGGCAGCUAUAAACAGUGGUGACCGGAUUGAGAGUGCAUUGAAAGAUAUGGCCAACGUACUGAAACAAGCAAAUAGGGCUGAAGAAGCCAUUGAGGCAAUUAGAUCCUUUCGUGAUCGUUGUCCCUAUGAAGCUCAGGAGUCCCUUGACAAUAUUCUUCUUGACCUAUACAAGAAAUGUGGUAGGACAGAAGAGCAGAUUGAGAUGUUGACGAUAAAGCUAAGAAUUGUUGAUGAGGAGCUAGCUUCUGGCCGGUGGAAAACAAAACAGUCUAAAUCUCAUGGAAGGGUAGUAUACCUUUCUCUCAGAGAUGAAAAAGCAAGGUUAUUGGGGAACCUUGCAUGGGCCUAUAUGCAGUCUGAAAAUUACGAGGAAGCAGAAAUGCUCUACAGGCAAGCUCUUGCUGUAGAAGCUGACUACAAUAAAGAGUGUAACUUAGCCAUCUGUUUGAUGAAGACUGGAAAGUUGGCUGAAGCUAAAUACCUGCUCCAAGCUAUACCAUACAACUGCGACGAUGAAAGUCAUGUGAAAUCUCUUUCCCGGGCCACUGAAAUGCUUAGGGAACUUGAGUUGCAAUCACUCCCUUCUCCCAUAACUCAGAUGAAGUCCAAAGAAUCACGGAUUUUGCUUGCUGCUGAUGUGGAGAUGCUUGAAGAUCCACAGCCACAAAUACUAUCAACUCCUUUGAGUCAACUGAAAUGUAAAGAACCACAUAUUUCUGUUUCAGCAGAGGAGCAUGAGAAUUGCAGUUCAUGGCUUCCAUCUCCCAUAACUCAGUUGAAGCGCGAAGAACCACAAAUUUUGGCUAUCGUUGAUGCAGAAAAGAAUGAAGGCUGUGCAAAGUUCCAAGAUCUUUCUCGACUGUUCAAUGAUGCUGCUACACCUCAUUCAAUGCUUGAGAAACUAAGAAAGCGGCUAGUUAAAGAGGCACCAAAAAUUAGCAUUAUUCAUGAUCAGAUUCUGACUCCUACAGCAACUGAAUGUUUGCCCAACUCCGAUGGAAAUCAAGAUGCUAGUGAGAAUCCUGUGCAAGGGGGCAAGCAAUUGGCCAAAGGUGUUAGAAAAACAUGGGCUGACAUGGUGGAUGAGGAGGAACAACAACUGGGUGAGGACAAGCCAUGGGCUGACAUGGUGGCUAAGGAUGAACAGCAAUUGGACGAUGACAAGUUAACAGUGGGUGUGGGCACUACUGAGCAAACUGAAAGCAGCAAGCAUGCAAGUAAGCAGGAGUACAGAAUACCAUCAUCCUCUCAAGGAAGCAGCACCCUCCACAGACCAGUCGUGGGUGGUCACCAACAAGGCUCUUCAGCGAAUUCAUGGAGACACAGCGACUCCAAAAUCUCAAGGGAUAACAGAGUGAACUGGGAUCUUGUCAGGACCGCUCCAACAUGGAGCAAGCAUAAGGUACAAGAUCACAGCGACCGAGUUUGCCAAAGGCCUAACACAGCUCAUUUGAACGAGAACGCCUCUGGCAGCAAACAAGCACCAUGGAGAAGCAGCGCAUCUCAGCGCGCGCUUUUUCCUGACUGGAACUCAAAGGGUGAAGGAUAUGGCCAUGGUUAUGUGCCGUUUGGUGAUAAUGAGCACUCUCAGGGUCCUGGUUGUACUGAGGCCUCUCAUCGGUGGCAUAAUAACAUGGCAGGGACAAGCAAUGGAGAGGUCACUGCAGUUUGCAAAUGGACGCAGCCGCUGAGCAGCCGCCUGCAUCUGCAUAGUGCUCACCCCUGUGGCAUUUUCUAGCUUGUCUACACACUGGAGCCUGGCGGAUUCCAUCACUGCAGCUGCUCUGGGUGUCCUAACAUGGUGGCUGUCCUUCCUCAGGGGCAGCAAUGGCUGGCUGGCCGGCUGGCCGGCAGCCUCGAGCUUCAUCUGCAGCCCGACCAGCAGCUGGGCCCCCGAGGCCUAGGGGAUGCCGCCAGCUCAGCGGUCGUGACGUGUAGCGCCGUGUCGGCACCUCGACGUGGGCGACAAGGCUGCCGGCGCGGCGAGCCUCGCCGGCGCCAGGGCUUCGCCUCCAAUAAUUCCGGUGCAUGCAUGAUUGUUGGCUACACACAUGGAGAAGCUGUGUCUGCCUGCCUGGUUGUCCAUGGUUGGUGCCUUGGUGGUGAGAUACUCUUCUUCAAGGGACGCCAUGGUAGGCGGCUAGGCGCGACGCCGACCGGAACUUUUUACCCGCUAACGGAUGAAUGUGAUGCAACAAUAUGGAUCCCGGAUUUGAGAAUAUGAAAGGGAGGGGCCAUUGCUUCUGCAUCUCUCUUUACCUGAUGAUACACUGAUCGACAGUGUGCAUUGCCUGGUCAGUAUGAGCAGUAACCACUGCACCAAUGGAUGCAUGCGUUUGGAGGUAGGGUUGCACAUGGGACGUGAGACUCUAUGGCACACAUCUGAGGGCGACUACUAUAUGGGCAACUGUUGGCGUGGCUCAAUCAUGUCGUGCAGCCAUCUUCUUCAGUUAAUUUCUUGACAGGGAGGGAGAGUGAAAGAGGGAGAGGGAGAGGAGACACGGAACAGGGCGGUUUCACGUGCCGAUUCUGCGAUCGGAGUAGUAAUUGGCAAGUUGCAGUUUACAGUCCUUAAGACUGAACCUAAUGUCGACUGAUUUGACGGCAUUCAGAGUAAUUGGCAGAUUACUUAUGAACAAAUUUGGAUUGAAUUCAGACUUUCAUACACUGUUUAUAUACUGCACAUGUAUGAUUGCUUGAAUAUACAGAUGUGGAACUAACAUCACUUAAACCAGUGUUCAGCUUUUCUUUUCUUUUCUUUUUGCUGACAAAAUGAAAUAGUUACAUUUGAACCAUGCAGUGAAGAUUCAAAACUGCAAGCCAUGUAGCUCUUCAAAUACAGGAUCAACUCCUGAAAUGCUGCCAGCUGCCUUUUGGUAUAUAUCCUGCAGAGUGAAACACUCAAAUACAAAAUAUAAGGCGUAACAGUGACAAA